CUCUCUAUCUCUCUCUAAACUAAUACAAGUGGAUCUUCAAGCCUUAUUACCUCCUUAUGUAAAUUUUGAGCUCUUCAUUUUGUAGGUAUAUUUUUUGAAGCUACCAAAGCUAUCAAGUCCCUUGCCAUCAACACCUUCCUCCUCAUUUUAGUUCGAGAAAAUGGGAAUCGCUCGUCAUUUGCUGUGGUUUCUUAUGUGGGCACUUGCGCUAACAACUCAAGUGUAUGGUGUUCGCGACCGAAACAUUACUCUUCUAGAGAGUGCUGUUGCUAAGGGCGCUGUGUGUCUAGAUGGAACACCACCUGCAUAUAUUUAUUCAAAGGGAUAUGGAGAGGGUGCUAACAACUGGAUUGUUUAUAUCCAGGGUGGUGGGUGGUGCAUCUCGUGGGAAGAUUGUCACAACAGAUCAAUGAGUCAUUUGGGAAGUAGCACGAGGAUGAUGGCUGUAUAUACUUAUUACCCACCCGAAAUGGACGGGAUGCUCGAUGACAACGCUACAUAUAAUCCACGUUUGUAUUUUCUAAUCUUCACAUGUUCAUCUUCUUUACCAAUUUCAGUAUAAAACAUAUCUUGACCUUAUUAUUAAUUUCAGUCUUCUAUAACUGGAACAUUUUCUACGUUUUAUAGUGUGAUGAAUCUUCCUUCAUGUCAAAUAUUGAUCAAGUAAGUCUUAAAUUAUUUUACCUAGAUGCUACUUUUAUACUUCAUUACUUAGUUUUUAAGUUUUUAUUUCGUAACAAUACUACAAUGAUAAAUGUUUGGUUUAGGAAAUAAAUUUCAAGGGCAAGGUGAUUUAUUUUAGGGGCGUUCGGAUUUACGAUGCUAUGAUGGAAGAGCUAUUUCUAAAUAAGGGAAUAGCCGAUGCUCAAAACGUUAUAUUAACGGGUAGCUAACCACAAUCUUGCAUUUUGACAACUUUAGGACCCACUUCUCCCAAAGCACAACAGUUAAAUGUAUUUCUGAUUCUGGUUUUUUUAUACAUGGGGAGGGGUUGAUUGGAGCUGAUUGGAGGGAAGAACGAUACUUUAAUGUGGUCUCUACACAUGGUUAGCUAAUUUGCUGCCUACAUCAUGUACAACAAGAAUGAAUCCAACAUUGUGUCUAUUCCCGGAAUACUUCAUCAACGAUGUCCAAACUCCCCUAUUUUAGUUGAAUCGGCUUUUGACCGGUGGCAGUACGUUUCUUGUAAACCUUCCAAUAUCAUAUGUUUUAGAUUCAACAUUUGAUACCGCCCGAUACUUUAGCUGGAUGAGAUAUUUGCGACAAUAACACUACCACCAUAGUAUCCCAAUUUAAUUGGACACAAUACAGCCUUAUGAAAGAUUUUCGAGCCACUUUCAUACAUACAUUAAAGAGUCUUGACAACUCUUCAAGCAUAGGGUAUUUCGUACACAGUUGCUAUGCCCAUGGCCAUGUCUUUGACGAAAAAACUUGGACUUCUUCAUCAUUGGCGAGGCAUAACGUACUUGCAAAUAAAGGUAUUGGACAAGCAAUCGGAGAUUGGUACUUCAACCAUAGUAGUUUUCAAGAGAUAGACAUGCAGAAUGACCUCCCAAGAAAUUGCGAUGUUAUCUUGAGUCAAACUGCUUUCAACCAGCUGUGUAUGGAUGUUCUCCAGCAUGCGUAGUCACAAAUUUCUCCAACAUUUACUUCUAUUAAUUAUAGCUUAUAUCUAGACCAGUUUCCUUUUCUCUUUAUAGUUUGUUAAGCUUGUCGGAUGCUCUUUUAUUGGAAACAAAAUAUGCACAGUGUCCUUGCUGCUAAUGAAAUCGACUUUGUUGUAAAA